rnacentral:rRNA from 1 species
GCAACAGCUCAGAUUUGGAAUCUGGCCUUCGGCCCGAGUUGUAAUCUGGAGAGGAUGCUUCUGGCGCGGUGCCUUCCGAGUUCCCUGGAACGGGACGCCGGAGAGGGUGAGAGCCCCGUACGGUUGGACACCUAGCCUCUGUGAAGCUCCUUCGACGAGUCGAGUAGUUUGGGAAUGCUGCUCAAAAUGGGAGGUAAAUUUCUUCUAAAGCUAAAUAUUGGCCAGAGACCGAUAGCGCACAA